AUUAAAAUUUUGUUUAUUAUUUAAAUUUAUUUAUAAUUAAACUGGGUUACAAAAAUAUGAUUUACAAUUUUAAUAAACUAAACCUAAUAACGAAACCAAAAUUAAUAAACUAAACCUAAUAGCAAAAUUAAUCUAAACCUAUCCCGCCGCACCACCACCUUCUUCGUCCUGUUCUUCCAUGACCUCCGCCUCUGCAUCAGUUUUCGUCACGCCUCCGCCUCUGCAUCAGUUUUUGUCACGCCUCCGCUUCUGCCUCUGUUACUCGCGCCUCCGCCUCUGCCUCUGUUACUCGCGCCUCCGCCUCUGCCUCUGUUAGUCGUGCUUCCGCCUCAGCAUCCGCUGUCUCAUCCUUCACCUCUGGCGCACUUCCAUUCCGGUUUGUCACUAUUUGAGCUUGUCUCCAAUCCAGAUUUAUGACAAAGAUGCUUGUACGGUCGACAUCGAAGCUCCGUGUAAGAACAACGCCGACGACGACAGCUACAUCUGCCACCAAUCGUAACGCAGGAGGAGUAGAUCUGGUGACUGGGUCUCGAUCCUGACGCUAAUGGUUGGAAAGGGAGAGGUUUGGCUGGGUCUGAGGGUGGAGUUGGGUUAUCGGAUUCGUUUGAGAAUAUUGUUAAGUCUGAUGGUGAACCUGUAAAGGAAAAAGAAUGAAAGAGAUGACAAGAAAAAGAGAUGAGAUCUACGAGAGAGAUUUUAGGUCUUUAGAUCAAAAAUGAUCAAUGGUUAAAAAUUGUAAUCCUUGUCAUUGAAAAAGUGACCAAUGAGAAGAGAGAUAAGAAAACUAAAGGAUUGAUCUGUUAACCAAUGAGAAGAGAGAAUAAAAAAACUAAAGGAUUGAUUUGUGGCCUUUGAUUUAAUGUUAAUCAAUGGCUUGGUAUUCUUACAAGAAGUGUUUUUUUUUAAUUAAUAUUUAUUUUUUGUAAUUUUAAUUAUAUAUUUUGAGUAUUUUACAUAUAAAAUUAAGUUAUUCAUUUAUAUUAUAAAGCUAAUGAUAUAAAAUUACAAAAUGAUUAGAUUUCACUAUUAUAAGCAAUUUAAGUCAAAUAAAAUUAAGACUAACAAAUUCGGUUAAAACAAUUAAGAUUAACAAAAUGAAUAGAUUUCACUUUUAUAAGCAUUUUAAGAUUUGAAGUUAAAUCUAUUAUAUAAUAGGAGAGUUUCUCUCCCCCUGAUGCGACACGUCAGCAGUUUGUGGGUCCUACUUUUAAAAAAUGUGAAAUAGUGUCAAAUCUAUAGUUCAAACCCAGGUUAUUGAGAUAUAAACACCCACAAUUAUACCACUGCACUAAAGGUUAUUUUGUACAUUGAUGGCUGAAACUAAUAUAUAUUAUGAAGGUCGGAAACUAACAUAAUAUUGUGGACCCCACCUCUUUUUUUUUUUUUUUAAUUUGAUGGGUAACGAAUGGACUUUGACAAAAAGCGGGUUUUAGACUUAGUGAUUUUCUGUUUAUUAGGCUUUGUAUCUGCCCAAAGUGUUGAUACAGACAAAGCUAAUAAGAUUAGGGAAGCCACCAUCUUCACCAUCUCCUUCGUCGCUUGCGAUUCCCCUUCCGGCAAUCAGUUAUUAUGGUCGAUCUUUAAGGCUCUACGCACGUUUUGCGCCUACCAAACGCUUAGCUUCUCCUCUAACGCCUUCAGAGCUCUCAUAUAUAUAGAAUCCCUCGAGGUAAAAGCUCUAUCUUGUCUCAAACUUUUCUUUCUCAGUUUUCCGAUCGCUUUACUUUCUCACAUCCGUCGGGAAAAUGACUUAUCCAGCUGCUCCAGCCGCUUCAGCCGCCAUUGCCACCGUUCCCUACUCCACCUUCAACUAUCUCCGUCUUGGAAGGUCCACUCAGUCCAUUGUUGGUCGGCUCAUCCGAUUCUAAGAUUCCAGGAACAUUAACAAGAAUGGAGAGUUUAUGGGCAUCACCAUUCUCCUCCUUGAUGAACUGGUGAUGAUUGUUUCUAACUUAUUUUUUAUCACUUUAACUCUGCUUUACUUAUUCUUUGUUCAUAUGUGAAACAUGUGUUCAUGUUUUUGUUUUGGUUUUGUCUAUGGAUUUUUUUAUGAACAACUAAUGAUUUUUCUCUGUUUUUCUUACAGGAUUCUGGGAUCCACAGUUUCAUCCCUGCAAUCUCCAAACAAAACAGGAAAACUGAAUGAAUUAUGUUUUUAGUAACCGUAUCUAAAAGAAAUAAAAAACCAUCUUACUUAACAAAUUAAAACCUUUUCUUUUGCAGAUUCCGACGACGACGAAGCACCCGAGGACCAACGACAACGGAAUGAUGCGGACGAAGCCUAACUGAUGGGGCAGAUCUCCUUAGAAGGGGAGCCACUCGCCACGAUGCUUAUAGUUUCAUCAUUCUUGAAACUCUUAUGAACCACAAAGCCAAUAUAAGAGCUCUGUUUCAAUCCAACGGCUGGAUUUUAUCAUAGACCACAGCUAAGCCUGAAGAGGGAAGAGAAAUGGAGUGCUGCGUUUUGGAAGAUGGUUACUUGAAGUUUACAAGAUGAAGAUGGAACCCGUGACGAGGAAGACGAGGAGAAGUGUUACUUGGAAUAUCCUAACGUUGAGGAUGUAGACAAUGUGUGAUCUUAGCGAUGAAGAUUAGUGUAGCUUUAAUAUAAGCUACUACGGUCCUUGAGCUCCCUAACAAGUACUGCAAACAAUGUGUAUUUUGAAAAAAUAAAAUAAUUUUGUAAUGCAAGUAGUUUGAAA